CAAUGGCGUAUAUUAAAGUUGUUGCAGUUAAAAAGCUCGUAGUUGGAUUUCUGGUGGGAGCGACCGGUCGGCCCAAGUGGUGUGUACUAGUGUUGCAUCUGACCAUAUUUGCGGAGAGCGUGUGUGGCAUUAAUUUGUGUGCUCGGGACCCGCAUCGUUUACUGUGAGAAAAUUAGAGUGUUCAAAGCAGGCUUAUGCCUUGGAUAUGUUAGCAUGGAAUAAUAAGAUAAGACUUUGGCGGUCUAUUUUGUUGGUUUGCACGCCAUUGUAAUGAUUGAUAGGGACAGUUGGGGGUAUUCAUAUUUAAUUGUCAGAGGUGAAAUUCUUGGAUUUAUGAAAGAUGAACUACUGCGAAAGCAUUUACCAAGGAUGUUUUCAUUAA
rnacentral:rRNA from 1 species